UACAGAGGGUGCAAGCGUUAAUCGGAAUUACUGGGCGUAAAGCGUGCGUAGACGGUUAUGUAAGUCGGGUGUGAAGCCCCGGGCUCAACCUGGGAAUUGCAUUCGAGACUGCAUAGCUAGGGUGCGGAAGAGGGAAGCGGAAUUUCCGGUGUAGCGGUGAAAUGCGUAGAUAUCGGAAGGAACACCAGUGGCGAAGGCGGCUUCCUGGACCGGUUCUGACACUGAGGAGCGAAAGCGUGGGGAGCGAUCCGG
rnacentral:rRNA from 1 species